AACCAGGUAGGUUUAUUUCCCAACACGGGCUAAAUAUUAAGCUGCGAACACUCACGACUCACAGAUCCAAUUCACCCCAUUCUCCAAAUCCUCAAACCCCCCUUAACAAUGGCGGAACACCUAGCCUCAAUAUUCGGCACAGAGAAAGACCGAGUUAACUGUCCCUUCUACUUCAAGAUCGGCGCAUGUAGACACGGCGACCGUUGUUCGCGUCUCCACAACCGUCCAACCAUUUCACCAACUCUCCUUCUCUCCAACAUGUACCAACGUCCCGAUAUCAUCACUCCCGGCGUCGAUCCCAACGGUCAACCGAUCGAUCCGCGUCAGAUCCAGCAGCACUUCGAAGAUUUCUACGAAGAUAUCUUUCUAGAACUUUCUAAAUUCGGUUACAUCGAAACGCUAAACGUUUGUGAUAAUCUCGCCGAUCAUAUGAUCGGGAAUGUUUACGUUUUGUUUCGUGAGGAAGAUCAUGCCGCGGCGGCGCUUGGUUCGUUGCACGGGAGAUUUUACUCCGGUCGGCCUAUUCUUGCGGAUUUUUCUCCGGUGACGGAUUUUCGUGAGGCGACGUGUCGGCAGUAUGAGGAGAAUAGUUGUAACCGUGGUGGUUAUUGUAAUUUUAUGCAUGUUAAGAAAAUUGGAAGGGAAUUGAGGAGGAAACUGUUUUCUUCUCAACGGAGCCGGAGCAGAAGCAGGAGUCGGAGUAAUAGUCCUCGUCGGAGAAGGAGAAGUGGAGAUCGAGAGAGGCCGCGGGAUAGAGAUAGAGAUUAUGAGUCUCGUGGAAGAAGAAGUAGUGAUAGGGAUAGGAUUAGGGAUAGAGAUGGGGAUAGGGAGAGGAAUAGAGAUAGUAGAGAUGAAGGUGGAAGGCGGAGAAAUGGUAGUUCGGCGAGGGAAGGAAGGGAAGGGAGCGAGGAAAGAAGAGCAAGGAUUGAGCAAUGGAACAGGGAAAGAGAAGAGAAGCCUUGAUGUUUUUGCUGAUUUUUAUUUUGACUUUCUGUUUUGACAUAGGUUGAGGUUGUGAUUUGUGCUGUAUGGUGAAAUUCAACUGAAGGUGAAUAUCCGACGGUGAGGUUUAUGGAAGAAUCGGUGAAGAGAAGGGAAUGGCUAGGUGCUAGGGGAUUGGUUGUGCAGCUGAUGUUCAUCGGAUGUAGAAAUUGCAAUUCAAAUUUUAAAGAUUAACGAGGUUGGGGUUUCAUUUGUUUCCUAUAAAACAGCAUGUCUCUAUGAUAAGUUAUUAUUAUUUGAGGCUCUAAAUUGUAGUGGCCUUGCGGCUGCUUACUGCUGAGAAUCAUUGUCUUAUAGGGUGGAUGUGGUUUCAAUCACAGUACCAUUAUGGUAGCAGAGGUAGCAAAACCUUGGUGUUCUGGUCCAAAUUGCAUUUAAUGUUCACAAAUGGGGUUGGGAUCCAUUCCGUUUUAGAUCAAUUUGGGCAGACCCACCUGUGAAUUUUAUAACACGCUUUCUUUGUCAUUUUUACAGAAGUAUAGGUAUGUGCUGUUUAAAGAAAAUUUGUGAUGAGUCAUAUUGCUAAACGGCUUUGGCUAAUAUGCAUAAGGAUUUUCCUUAUGCACCAUGCAUAAGCCUACAUAAGUCAUUGGAUUAUAGUUUUUUAAUCCAGUAUUGAGUAUUGAGUAUUGAGUAUUGAGUAUUGAGUAUUGAGUAUUGAGUAUUGAGUAUUGAGUAUUGAGUAUUGAGUAUUGAGUAUUGAGUAUUGAGUAUUGAGUAUUGAGUAUUGAGUAUUGAGUAUUGAGUAUUGAGUAUUGAGUAUUGAGUAUUGAGUAUUGAGUAAUGAGUAAUAACUAUUGAUGUCUAGAAUUUGAUCCAAGGGUCCAUAAUAAUCUAUGCAUGGUGCAUAGAUUUUUAUUUAUGCACGGUAACUGCACCCUUGCUAAAUAUUAUAAAAUAUACCGGCUCGACUAAUAACUCACACUAUAUAUUAGUUAUUGUCUUAGGAUUUCUACUAGUUGGGCUAUUGUGCUAUUUGAGCUAUCUAGAUUCCUAGACCAACAUAAUCUUUGCAAUCAAUUUAUGCUUGUUCCAAUAUAUGCUUUGUAGCAGUUGUUGAUUUAUACUUGUUUCAAAGAUAUAUCAUUUUCUGUUCCUGAGAAGUGAUAUACGGAGAAUUGGAUUUCACCGUAUAUGCUAACAUGUAUGUUAUUUCAAUGGAUUGCUGACUGAUACCGACAACUUUUUGUUAACGUUUUUUCAACAAUUGUGAUAUUAAAAUUAUACUGUAUACUUGUAGUUUUAUUGAAAGAAAUCAAUUUCAUACUUGUAUUGUGAAUGGGGGGAGUCCAAGGAAUAUGCAAGUGAACUUUGAGUGCUUGAGGUAUUGGAGAGCGAGAAUUUUUUUUUCCCUAGAAUUUCGAGAUGCAUCUCCAAAUACACCAAAUUUAUAAUUUGUGGUGUUUUUGGAGAUGCAUUUCUGAAACAACUUUGAGUGCUUGGUGUUGAGAUUUUUCGGAGGUGAAUCAAUUGAAUUAAUGGUAUAUUUAUAUAAUAAUCAGUAUUUAAGUUAUUCUUUAAAAUUUUCAUUUAAAUUUAAUGGUUUUUUUAGUUAUUCUUUGUUUAUUUGUCUAAGAUAUAUUAUAAUAAGAAAAAAUCUUUUUAAAAUAAAAUUUUAAUUUAUAAUAUUAUUAAAAAUUAAUGUUUAUUAAAAAUUAAUAUUUUUAAAAUUUUAAUUUUGUAAUAAUUUAUUUGACAUAAAUUAAUCCACUUUUAAAAUUGGAUAGGAACAAAAGAAGAAAUAUUUU